rnacentral:lncRNA from 1 species
GCUCGGUUUUAUAGCGCGUGCGGGACAAUAGGUUUCCAGGAUAUACGUCUCCACCAACACAGCCGAGUCGGCUUCACUCCUCGCUGCUUAAAAUGAACACAGCCAGAGAAAAAGAGAGAACAGGCAGAGGGGAAAAUGAGGAUGUGACGGAGAAUACUUUAUGUCAGCAGCGUGUUGCACAGAAGGAUGGGGAGACCAUCGUGCUGCAGCAGCUGAUCAUCAUCUCUCGGCUCCUCUGUCAGCCUGCCGUCAGGGCAGAACUGGGAGCGCACUUUGAGAAGGUCCACUUCCAGCUCAGUAAAGAGUUUGAGCUGGACCACAUGACCGGCCAGCUGCUGAUUUAUCCGUCGUGUGUGCUGCACAUCGUUGAAUCAUCCAGAGAGGUUCUCCUUUGUGUUCUGAAAGACCUGAAAAAGCUCCAGCAACAUCCAAACCGUGCCAUGGUGGAAGAAUCCAAGGUUCUCUUCCUGCUUCAUAACCCUCACGGACGGCUGUUCCAACAGUGGAGCUACAAGGUGAUCGCUGCAGGUCAGAAGGUCCCGGGCCUCGAGGAGGAGGAGAACACCGAGAGUCUGGUUUGCAUGGUUCUGUCAGCGCUGCAGGAACUGGAAACAUCCAAGCGCGUUCCAGAGUCUUGGGAAUUCAUCAUCUCGCAGGAUCUUGUGCUGAAGCUUUUAGGACAAGAUGACCUCCUGAGUCUAGAGGAUCACCUCCAUCUGUACGACUCGCCGCUAAACAUCAGAAUGGACUUCGGACAAGCUGUUCGAAGUCAGUCCAUCAACAGGGUUUAA